GUCUUCGUGGUGUAGUGGUCAGCACGCUCGAUGCGUAACGAAGAAGUCCGUGGUUCGAUUCCCGGCGAAGGCG
rnacentral:tRNA from 1 species